rnacentral:rRNA from 1 species
GACAGAGGGUGCAAACGUUGUUCGGAAUUACUGGGCGUAAAGCGCGUGUAGGCGGUCGUGCAAGUCGGGUGUGAAAGCCCUCGGCUUAACCGAGGAAGUGCGCCCAAAACUGCAUGGCUUGAGUACCGGAGAGGGUGGCGGAAUUCCCGGUGUAGAGGUGAAAUUCGUAGAUAUCGGGAGGAACACCAGCGGCGAAGGCGGCCACCUGGACGGAUACUGACGCUGAGACGCGAAAGCGUGGGGAGCAAACAGG